GGGGGUUUGGGUACCCCUGAACCUGGGGAAGGGGGGUGCCAGGGGUGUAGGUACCCCUGGGACUGGUGAAGGUGGGUGCCAGGGGCUGUGGGUACCCCUCAGCCUGGGGAAGGUGGGUGUGGGUACCCCUGAGCCUGGUGAAGGUGGGUGCCAGGGGUGUGGGUACCCCUGGGACUGGUGAAGGUGGGUUUGGGGGGCUUUGGGUACCCCUGACCCUGAUGAAAAUGGGUUUGAAGGGUCUGGGCACCCCGUGCCCCUGGAGCAGGUGGGUUUGGGGGGGACUGGGCACUCCCUCACCCUGUUGAAAAUGGGUUUGUGGGGCUUUGGGUACCCCCUGACCCUGCUGAAAAUGAAUUUGUGGGGGGUCUGGGCACCCCCUGCCCCUGAUAAAAAUGGGUUUGAAGCGUCUGGGCACCCCCUGCCCCUGAAGCAGAUGGAUUUGUGGGGGUCUAGGCACUUCCUGCCCCUGGAGCAGGUGGGUUUGGGGGGCUUUAGAUACCCCCUGACCCUGCUGAAAAUGACUUUGGGGGGCUUUGGGCACCCCUGCCCCUGGAGCAGGUGGGUUUGGGGGGCUUUGGGCACCCCUGCCUCUGGAGCAGGUGGGUUUGGGGGGCUUUGGGCACCCCCUGCCCCUGGAGCAGGUGGGUUGGGGGGUCUGGGCACCCCCUGCCCCUGAAGCAGAUGGAUUUGUGGGGGUCUAGGCACUGCCUGCCCCUGGAGCAGGUGGGUUUGGGGGGCUUUGGGCACCCCCUGAGCCUGGUGAGAAUGAUUUUGGGGGUCUCUGGGCACCCCUGCCCCUGGAGCAGGUGGGUUUGGGGGGCUUUGGGUACCCCCUGCCCCUGGAGCAGGUGGGUUUGGGGGGCUCUGGGCACCCCCUGGAGCAGGUGGGUUUGGGGGGCUUUGGGCACCCCCUGA